rnacentral:rRNA from 1 species
UACAGAGGGGGCAAGCGUUAUUCGGAAUUAUUGGGCGUAAAGGGCGCGUAGGCGGCCUGGCAAGUGGAAGGUGAAAUCCCUCGGCUUAACCGAGGAACUGCCUUCCAAACUGCUUGGCUUGAGUCCGGGAGAGGCGAGUGGAAUUCCCAGUGUAGCGGUGAAAUGCGUAGAUAUUGGGAGGAACACCAGUGGCGAAGGCGGCUCGCUGGACCGGAACUGACGCUGAGGCGCGAAAGCGUGGGGAGCAAACAGG